rnacentral:tRNA from 1 species
AGACGAAAGUUAAAUACAUGUUGGUUUCGGCCCAAAUAUAGAGAAUAAAUUCUCUUCGUCUU